rnacentral:rRNA from 1 species
GAUCCUGGCUCAGGAUGAACGCUAGCUACAGGCUUAACACAUGCAAGUCGAGGGGCAUCAGUUUGGUUUGCUUGCAAACCAAAGCUGGCGACCGGCGCACGGGUGAGUAACACGUAUCCAACCUGCCUCAUACUCGGGGAUAGCCUUUCGAAAGAAAGAUUAAUACCGGAUAGUAUCGAGAGAUUGCAUGAUUACCCGAUUAAAGAUUCAUCGGUAACGGAUGGGGAUGCGUUCCAUUAG